UCUGUUCAUAUAUCAUAUGUGGGGCUUUUUUCAGGUUAAAACACUCAUAUUGCUGAGAUAAAUAGAUUAGUGUAAUUUGCUUUGGUGCCUAAAACUUUUGCACAGUUCUGUAUAUAUUUUAAAAAGCUAUAGUGUAAUUCCUCCAUUCAUCCACAGUUAAACACUGUGUUCUGAUUGGUCAAGAAACACAUCACUCCUCUCUCUUCAACCUGUAAAAAGCCUUUCAGCACUUCCUCCUAUAGUGAGGAACUGAUCCAGUUUAAACCGGUUUAAAGUGAAAGUGAAAUCUUCAGCAGCUUCUGUUUAGAUGAGAGAAGAUGAUGAAGAGCGUUUGGAUAAAAAGCACAGAGGAUUAGGUGUAAUCUGAAGGAGGAAGAUGAGCUCCAAAAUGAGCGUCUCUGGGGAGCAGCACACACAGGAAGCUGGGAGG